AUGGCUAUUGAUGAGGCCGAGCUUGAGCCUCUAGAAUUUGCUGAGAAAAUGCACACUCAACAGGAAAUUACAACAACAGUGGCUCCCGGGGCAAACAUCGCCGCCACCCCACUCUCGAUUACCACCCAAGCUGCUGGCCUCCUUGUGGUGGUGGUCUUCACCCUCUUUCAUCACCAUGAAGCAGAUCAUCGUUGUGACGUUGUCCAGCACUGGCGAGAAGGGUGGCCCGCGUCGAGACGGCCAAGGUUGGGUGGUCUGCAGGUCAGGCUCGUUGGAAUGGUGACUGGUAAGUUGGAGAGGAAUACAAAUGUGUCCUUCACCCUCGACAAUGACACUGGCUGCAUCAAUUUUUCAUCAGAUGCUCAUGAUCUUGCUUCCCUCGCUAGAGUGUCAGAUAUUUCUGAAACCUGGGUGGGCAGUAUGGUGUUAUGCAAAUGA
rnacentral:rRNA from 1 species